GCCGGGUGUGGUGGCGAGCACCUGUAGUCCCAGCUACUCAGGAGGCUGAGGCAGGAGAAUGGCAUGAACCCAGGGGGACUGAGCCUGCAGUGAGCGGACAUCACACCACUGCACUCCAGCCUGGGCGACAAAGCAAGAUUCUGUCUCAA
ensembl:misc_RNA Metazoa_SRP Metazoan signal recognition particle RNA